UUCCGGUUGAUCCUGCCGGAGGACAUUGCUAUUGGGAUUCGAUUUAGCCAUGCUAGUCGAGCGAGCUUAGACUCGCGGCGAAUAGCUCAGUAACACGUGGCCAAGCUACCCUUCAGUCAGCGAUACCCUCGGGAAACUGAGGUUAACAGCUGAUACAAGACGUUUGCUGGAAUGCGGCGUUUUAGAAAGACUACGCUGAAGGAUGCGGCUGCGGCCGAUUAGGUAGACGGUGGGGUAACGGCCCACCGUGCCAGUAAUCGGUACGGGUGAUGAGAGUCAGAGCCCGGAGACGGAAUCUGAGACAAGAUUCCGGGCCCUACGGGGCGCAGCAGGCGCGAAACCUUUACACUGCACGGAAGUGCGAUAGGGGAAUCCCAAGUGCGAGGGCAUAUUAGCCCUCGCUUUUCUCGACUGUAAGGUGGUCGACGAAUAAGAGCUGGGCAAGACCGGUGCCAGCCGCCGCGGU
rnacentral:rRNA from 1 species